rnacentral:rRNA from 1 species
UGGGGAAUUUUGGACAAUGGGCGAAAGCCUGAUCCAGCAAUGCCGCGUGUGUGAAGAAGGCCUUCGGGUUGUAAAGCACUUUUGUCCGGAAAGAAAUCCUUGGCUCUAAUACAGUCGGGGGAUGACGGUACCGGAAGAAUAAGCACCGGCUAACUGCGUGCCAGCAGCCGCGGUAAUACGUAGGGUGCAAGCGUUAAUCGGAAUUACUGGGCGUAAAGCGUGCGCAGGCGGUUUGCUAAGACCGAUGUGAAAUCCCCGGGCUCAACCUGGGAACUGCAUUGGUGACUGGCAGGCUAGAGUAUGGCAGAGGGGGGUAGAAUUCCACGUGUAGCAGUGAAAUGCGUAGAGAUGUGGAGGAAUACCGAUGGCGAAGGCAGCCCCCUGGGCCAAUACUGACGCUCAUGCACGAAAGCGUGGGGAGCAAACAGGAUUAGAUACCCUGGUAGUCCACGCCCUAAACGAUGUCAACUAGUUGUUGGGGAUUCAUUUCCUUAGUAACGUAGCUAACGCGUGAAGUUGACCGCCUGGGGAGUACGGUCGCAAGAUUAAAACUC